rnacentral:misc_RNA from 1 species
AAGUCGUAACAAGGUUUCCGUAGGUGAACCUGCGGAAGGAUCAUUAGAGAUUGGCCUAACGGCCGUGUCUUCAUCCACACACACCGUGAACCGUUCUGGGAGCCCUCCCCUGGGCUGCCGGACAACACAUCCAAAAACAACAUGUAAAGAAUGUAAAAUUGUCGUAACAAAACAAAACUUUCAACAACGGAUCUCUUGGCUCUC